rnacentral:rRNA from 1 species
UGCAGUCGGACGGCAGCGCGGGGCACCUGGCGGCGAGUGGCGAACGGGUGAGUAAUAUAUCGGAACGUACCCAGAAGUGGGGGAUAACGUAGCGAAAGUUACGCUAAUACCGCAUACGAUCUACGGAUGAAAGUGGGGGACCUUCGGGCCUCAUGCUUGUGGAGCGGCCGAUAUCUGAUUAGCUAGUUGGUAGGGUAAAGGCCUACCAAGGCGACGAUCAGUAGCUGGUCUGAGAGGACGACCAGCCACACUGGGACUGAGACACGGCCCAGACUCCUACGGGAGGCAGCAGUGGGGAAUUUUGGACAAUGGGCGCAAGCCUGAUCCAGCAAUGCCGCGUGAGUGAAGAAGGCCUUCGGGUUGUAAAGCUCUUUUGUCAGGGAAGAAACGGCGAUUUCUAAUAAAGAUUGCUAAUGACGGUACCUGAAGAAUAAGCACCGGCUAACUACGUGCCAGCAGCCGCGGUAAUACGUAGGGUGCAAGCGUUAAUCGGAAUUACUGGGCGUAAAGCGUGCGCAGGCGGUUUUGUAAGUCUGUCGUGAAAGCCCCGGGCUCAACCUGGGAAUUGCGAUGGAGACUGCAAGGCUUGAAUCUGGCAGAGGGGGGUAGAAUUCCACGUGUAGCGGUGAAAUGCGUAG